AGGGGCCAGGCCAAAUGCUCAGUGAGUGUCUGCUCUGCAUCUGAGCCUUCUGCUGGACCCGUGA
ensembl:miRNA